rnacentral:tRNA from 1 species
GGCGGUUUAAAUGGUCAAUAACAUGUAAUGAUUGGCAAAAAAUGGCAAAACAUGUCAAUGAUUUAAUUCAUAAAUAACUGAUUUUACAUUCAUAUUGAAGGAACUCAUAAUCGCUUGGUCGUUGGUUCAAAUCCAACAGGGGCCACCA